rnacentral:lncRNA from 1 species
CAUCAACGAACAACAAAGUUCAAAAGUACUAUUUGCAUCCUGGACAACCCAAGUUGGGAAAAACUUCUCCAGGAGAUGUCCUUCAACAAAGAAAUAGAAAAUCUAGCUAAACUAUGAGCUACUUUGUUUAAGGUCCUCGGAAUAUAAAUAAACUCGACGUGAUCUAACAUGCGUGAUAGUUUCCAAAUGUCUUCACACAACACUUUUAUCUCCCGUGAAGUAGCCACCUGUUUUUGGAUCAUAUCAACAACAUUCUUAGCAUCAGAUAAAAUCUUCAUACUUUUCCAUCCAAAAGUAAUAGUACAUUCAAGUGCCCUUCUUAUGGCAAUCGCUUCAACAGUCAUCAACAACAUUCUUAGCAUCAGAUAAGAUCUUCACACUUUCCAUCCAAUAGUAAUAGCACAUUCAAGUGCCUUUCUUAUGGCAAUCGCUUCAGCAGUCAUGGUCUUCCCAACAUAUUGAAUCGAGGAUCCAUGGGCGUGAAGCAGUUUCCCCAGGCUAUUCAAAGUCGCGACACCAAUACUCGCAUGUCUGUCAUUACACUGUAAUCUUGCAUUUGUAAAUAACAAAACAUCAUCCUGAAGAUUUGUUAGUUUAGGAAGAACCUCAUUUCUACUGGAAUAUCGUGCAACGAGACAAUUGGUUAAUAUAUCUUUAUAUUCUUCAUACUCAAAAAGACCUUUAGAAACAAUGUCAGUUGGCUCUAGCAUUUUCUGAUUAAAACACCAAGCAUUCCUACCUUUCCAAAUUUGCCAUAUAAGAUUAACACUCAAAUAUAGUAAUUCAGUAGAUUCAGGAAAGUGCUUAGUAUUUAAAAACAAGUAGUAUCACCACACAGAAAGUCAUUUAUUUUGUCAAUAUCUUGCCAAUUAAUAGGACUGUGUUUCCAAACAAGCUGAGAUCGGGGACAUCUAAAUAGCAUAUAUUCUAUAUCUUCACUUUCAAGACCACAAAUCUUAAACGUUUUAUCCAUAUUAUGUAAUCUUUUAGCUAAUGUAUAAUUAACGAGCAAAGAUUUAAUCACACACUUCCUUAGAAAAUAUUUAAGUUUAUUUUUAACUUGCAAGUGCCACAAAGAAUCCAAUAAACUUUUAGGAAAAUACUGACAACUCGCCUGUGCUACCGAGUUCGUAAUAGGCUUACCGGACAAAUCCUUUGCUACAUAGUAACCUGACUUAACUUCAUAGUUUCCGGAAUUUGAGUGAUGCACAGUAAUCAAUCAUUAAGACCGAAUGUGGAUAUUAGCAUAGACAAAAUUGCAUCUACAUCUUCAUGUUCAAAGGUCAUACUUAUUUUAUGAAGUUUCCAAUUAUGCGUAUGCUUGUCAAUUAUGUCGGCAACCUUAAGAUAUUGCAUUUGAAUACUUUUUGGAGUAAAAUCAUUAUUUCUCGGAAUCCAAGGACCAGUCCAAACAUUUAUAUUUUUUCCAUUAGAGAUCCUCCACCUUAAUCAAUUAACUAAGAGAUCUCUUCCCCACAAAAUACUUCUCCAAAUCCAUGAUUCUGAAGAUGAUGUAGAAGAGUCAAGGAAAGUUGACUGUGGAAAGCAUUUGCUUUUAAGCACUUUUGUUCACAGCGAAUGGGGGUAUGACAAUAUACGCCAAGUUUGCUUAGCUAACAAAGCGAUAUUGAAAGCCCUUAAAUCCCUAAAUCCUAAACCCCCUCUUGAUUUAUAAUCACAUAAUUUUUCCAUUUCUCAAUAUGCAUCUUCCUGUUAUCCUCAGUCUGUUCCCACCAAAAGUUAGCAAAAAGAGAUGUAAUCUCCUUACACAGACUAUCAGGAAGUUGGAAGCAAGAAAAGGCAUAGGUAGGGAUUGCUGCAAGUACAGAUUUAAGCAUAACUUCUUUCCCAGAUGUACUUAAAAAUUUACCCUUCCAUCCUUUUAUUUUUGUCUUGACUUUAUCUUUAAUAAAUUCUAUCAUCUUUCUCUUUGAGCGUCCCACGAUAGCUGGUAAUCCUAAAUACAUACCCAUCUCAUUUCUUUGUUGUUGUCCAAGUAAGGAACAUAUCUCUCCUUUCUCCUCGUCCGUUACAUUUCUACUAAAAUAAAUAGCUGAUUUAUCUAAAUUAACCACUUGGCCCGAACAUUGCUCAUACUUUCUUAGAAUCUCAGCUACAUGGACUGCAUUGUGAGCAGUAGCUGAACAUAAUAUAAAUGAGUCAUCGGCGAAAAAUAAGUGCGUUAAGCUCGGCCCAUGUCUAUUUAAUUUUAAACCUUGAAUUUCAUUUUGAGUCUCAGAGGUCGACAACAAAUUAGAAAAACCUUCUGCACAUAUUAAAAAUAGAUAAGGUGAUAACGGAUCACCUUGUCGUAUUCCUCGAGUUGGCUUAACUUAUCCAACUACCUUCUCAUUUAUAUUAAAAAUAUAGGUAGGGGUAGAAAUACAUUUCAUACUCCAUUCUACAAAUCUGGUGUGAAACCCCAUUUACAAAAGAAUUUUCUUGAUAUAUAUCCAUUCAACUCUGUCAUAGGCUUUUGACAUAUCCAAUUUCAUCGCCAUAAAUUUCUCUCUACCUCUGCAUUUAUUUUUUAGAAGAUGCAUAAAUUCAUGUGUUAAAAUAACAUUAUAAGUUAUUUGUCUAUGUCCAACAAAAGCUGCUUGAGUCGGAGAUAUAACCUUAGUUAAAAGAUUUUUCAUUCUCGUAGCAAGUAUGUUGCAAUAAUUUUACAAAGAGUGGAACAUAAACUUAUGGGUCUAAACUGCGAUACCAAAGUAGGGCAUUUAACUUUAGGAACUAGAGUGAUUAAAGUAUGAUUCCACGAAGGAAUUAGGUAACCUGUAGUGAAGAUGCUAUCAAUAGCUUCAUAAAUCUCCUUUGAUAUAACAUGCCAAUAUUUUUGAAAAAAUAACGGAAUCAUUCCAUCCACACCUGGAGCUUUAAGAGGAUGCAUAGCGAACACCGCAUUCUUUACUUCCUCUUCACUAACAUCUUUUAUGAGUUCUCGAUUUAUCGAGUCAGUAACCAUUACAUUGACAAGAUUUAGAAUACAAUCAAAAUUUGUCAGGUUGGAUGUAGAGAAUAGUGUAUCAUAAUAAGCCUCAACUUCUUGAACUAUUUCAGUUUGAUCACUCACCCACCUCCCUUCAUGUGUUUUAAGACCCCUAAUUAUAUUUUUUCUUCUUCGUUGUAAGGUUGCCAUGUGGAAAUAUGACGUAUUCUUAUCACCAUCCAGCAAUCAUAAGGCUCGAGACUAUUGUUUCCAGAAAAUCUCUUCUUCUUUAUAAGCUUGGCUUGAUUCCUUUUUUAACAACCUAAAUUUAUGCCAAUCAAAAUUAUUAGCAUCACUUAUAAGGUAUGUAAUCUGUUUCUUAAUACUAAUAAUUUUCUUUCUAGCAUUUUCAUUUCUUCCCCUUGCCCAAUCCACUAAGGAUUUACGACACUUCUUUAAUUUAAAGUUUACUCGAGAUUGCUCAAAUCCAAUAUAUUCAUUGGACCAAGCGUCAACUACAAUAUUCUGAACCUCUUCCCGAUGAACCCACCUUUUAUCAAAGUAAAAGCAUCUUUUCUUCUUAAUUGGUUCAGCAUGUGAAGACAAAAUUAACAAAGAGUGAUCAGAAGCCUCAUUAUCAAGGUGAGUCACAUGAGCCUCUUCAAACUUUAUUUUUCAAUUGGGGGAGACUAAUACCC